GAUGAACGCUGGCGGCGUGCUUAACACAUGCAAGUCGAACGGGAAAUAUUUCAUUGAGACUUCGGUGGAUUUGAUUUAUUUCUAGUGGCGGACGGGUGAGUAACGCGUGGGUAACCUGCCUUAUACAGGGGGAUAACAGUCAGAAAUGGCUGCUAAUACCGCAUAAGCGCACAGAGCUGCAUGGCUCAGUGUGCAAAACUCCGGUGGUAUAAGAUGGACCCGCGUUGGAUUAGCUAGUUGGUGGGGUAACGGCCCACCAAGGCGACGAUCCAUAGCCGGCCUGAGAGGGUGAACGGCCACAUUGGGGCUGAGACACGGCCCAGACUCCUACGGGAGGCAGCAGUGGGGAAUAUUGCACAAUGGGGGAAACCCUGAUGCAGCGACGCCGCGUGAAGGAAGAAGUAUCUCGGUAUGUAAACUUCUAUCAGCAGGGGAGAUAGUGACGGUACCUGACUAAGAAGCCCCGGCUAACUACGUG
rnacentral:rRNA from 1 species